AAUGAACGUUGGCGGCGUGGAUUAGGCAUGCAAGUCGAGCGGAACCGUUAGCAAUACGGCCGAGCGGCGGAAGGGAUAGUAACACGUAGAUUAUCAACCCUCAGGACAGGGAUAGCCGCGGGAAACUGCGGGUAAUACCUGAUAAUAUCUCCGGAUCAAAGGUGAGAUUCCGCCUGAGGACGAGUCUGCGUCCUAUUAGCUAGUUGGUGAGGUAAUGGCUCACCAAGGCAACGAUGGGUACCGGGCGUGAGAGCGUGACCCGGAUCACUGGGACUGAGACACUGCCCAGACACCUACGGGUGGCUGCAGUCGAGAAUCUUCGGCAAUGGACGAAAGUCUGACCGAGCGACGCCGCGUGUGUGAUGAAGGCCUUCGGGUUGUAAAACACUGUCAAGUAGGAGGAAAUGCUAUGGGGCUAUCCCUGUAGUUUGACCAAUUGCAAAAGGAAGGACGGGCUAAGUUCGUGCCAGCAGCCGCGGUAACACGAACCGUCCAAACGUUAUUCGGAAUCACUGGGCUUAAAGGGUGCGUAGGCGGCGUUAUAAGUUAGAUGUGAAAUCCCACGGCUCAACCGUGGAACUGCGUCUAAUACUGUAAUGCUUGAGGGAGAUAGAGGUAAGCGGAACAGAUGGUGGAGCGGUGGAAUGCGUUGAUAUUAUCUGGAACACCAGUUGCGAAAGCGGCUUACUGGGUCUCUACUGACGCUGAGGCACGAAAGCCAGGGGAGCGAAGAGGAUUAGAUACCCUCGUAGUCCUGGCCGUAAACGAUCUGUACUGGGUUGGAGGACGCUCCAUUGUUUUCCAGCCGUAGCGAAAGUGUUAAGUACAGCGCCUGGGGAGUAUGGCCGCAAGGCUGAAACUCAAAGAAAUUGACGGGGGCUCACACAAGCGGUGGAGGAUGUGGCUUAGUUCGAGGCUACGCGAAGAACCUUAUCCUGGUCUUGACAUGCUAGAAUUAGUUUUAUGAAAGUAGAAUGACACCCGCAAGGGCGGAACUAGCACAGGUGCUGCAUGGCUGUCGUCAGCUCGUGUCGUGAGAUGUCGGGUUAAGUCCCUUAACGAGCGAAACCCUUGUCACUAGUUGCCAGCGCGUAAUGGCGGGGACUCUAGUGAGACUGCCGGUGUUAAACCGGAGGAAGGUGGGGAUGACGUCAAGUCCUCAUGGCCUUUAUGAUCAGGGCUGCACACGUCCUACAAUGCAACGUACAGAGCGCUGCGAACCUGCGAGGGUAAGCGAAUCGCCGAAAGCGUUGCUCAGUUCAGAUUGCAGGCUGCAACUCGCCUGCAUGAAGUUGGAAUCGCUAGUAAUCGCGGGUCAGCAUACCGCGGUGAAUGUGUUCCUGAGCCUUGUACACACCGCCCGUCAAGCCACGAAAGUGGGGGGCAUCCGAAGUCGCCGAGGUAACCGUAAGGAGCUAAGCGCCGAAGAUGAACUCCGUGAUUGGG
rnacentral:rRNA from 1 species